UGGGACCGAGAGACUGAAAAACAGCUUCUAUCUCAAGGCCAUCAGACUGUUAAACAGCCACCACUAACAUUGAGUGGCUGCUGCCAACACACUGUCAUUGACACUGACCCAACUCCAGCCACUUUAAUAAUGGGAAUUGAUGGGAAAUGAUGUAAAUAUAUCACUAGCCACUUUAAACAAUGCUACCUUAUAUAAUGUUACUUACCCUACAUUAUUCAUCUCAUAUGCAUACGUAUAUACUGUACUCUAGAUCAUCGACUGCAUCCUUAUGUCACUAGCCACUUUAACUAUGCCACUUUGUUUACUUUGUCUACAUACUCAUCUCAUAUGUAUAUACUGUACUCGAUACCAUCUACUGUAUGCUGCUCUGUACCAUCACUCAUUCAUAUAUCCUUAUGUACAUAUUCCUUAUCCCCUUACACUGUGUAUAAGACAGUAGUUUUGGAAUUGUUAGUUAGAUUACUUGUUGGUUAUCACUGCAUUGUCGGAACUAGAAGCACAAGCAUUUCGCUACACUCGCAUUAACAUCUGCUAACCAUGUGUAUGUGACAAAUAAAAUUUGAUUUGAUAUUUGAUUUGAUUUAAAACGCUCUGGUGACAAACAAACUUUGCUGCCCUGUUUCCAAUUGUCCACAUGGCUGGGAUAACCUAUUCAUUUAAAAAAAAAAAAAAACGAAAAAAAAAAAAGUAUUAUUAGCUAACUAGCUACAGUGUACACUGUAAAAAUACAAACUCCAAAUGCAUUCGUAGAGGUAGGCAGCUAACGCCAUGGAGAAGGGUAAAAGGAUAGCAGCCCCAACUGUCAAGGUGAGAGAAUAGGCUAUUCUGGAUAGGGCAGGUACUUUUGUGUAGUUCCUUUCCCUAGAAGUGAGGAUGGAGAUAAUAGUAACAAUAUUCAGACCGGUGUAAUUUGACUAUAAUAAAGUCUGUUUCUUGUGAGUUUUUCUGUCCUCAGAUAAAGAGAGUUACAGUAUGAAAGCCUGUCUACAUAUUAAGAGGUCCCAAUGAAGAGCAGUGGUUCUCAGUCCUGGUCCUGGGAACUCAAAGGGGUGCACAUUUUUGUGCACACACAGAUUCCUGUUGUACACUCUCUUUAACUACCUUAUUUUCUCAAUAAGUCUCUCUUCUUCACUUCAUCCCGCUCUCCUCUUCUGCCUAAAUCCUCUAGGUUAUAUCUGCUGUGUCAGUGAACCCCUCCUGCAUCUGAACUGGCUACAUAUAGGGCACAGCAUGAUCAGUGGUGAGAGGUCACAUGGUCAGGUCAACAGGAAGUAUUAUUAAAAAGAUGCAGUAGUCCCAGAGUUAAUGAUCCAAGAUAUGUUUUGAUGUGAAAGAGGAUGCCAACCCCCCAGUCCCAUCAUCGCCCUCACCCGCUUUUAAGAUAAGCUUCGGGCCGAUGAAACACUAUUAUGUAAUUGUGAUCAACUGAGAGAAUAUUUGGGUAGCACUGUGAUUCAGUAAUCAUAUGCUGCCUUCCCUGCUCCUAUGUUCUUACCUCUUUCCCUUUCUGUCUUUUACACCUCUCUCGCCACCACCUCUUUCUUCCUCUGUUUUUAUAAUGCACAACAGAUGUGCAGUGAAGUACAGAUUGAACUUGUAUUUAUAAUAUUACAAUUAUAAUAUUUAUAAUGCAUGUAUUUAUAACACUUGGAUAAUAAACUGUCAAUAAAGCGUUUCACAUUCUCUA